rnacentral:rRNA from 1 species
UAGAGUUUGAUCCUGGCUCAGAACGAACGCUGGCGGCGUGGAUAAGACAUGCAAGUCGAGCGCUGGUUACGGGGUAGCAAUAUCUCGUAAUCGGAGCGGCGCAAGGGUGCGUAACACGUGGGUAAUCUGCCAUGAAGUUUGGGAUAACUUGCUGAAAGGCGAGCUAAUACCGGAUGUGAAAGUUGGAAGGCAUCUUCUGAUUUUCAAAGUUGGGGACCGUAAGGCCUGACGCUUCAUGAUGAGCCCGCGGCCUAUCAGCUAGUUGGUAAGGUAACGGCUUACCAAGGCUAAGACGGGUAGCUGGUCUGAGAGGACGACCAGCCACACUGGAACUGAGACACGGUCCAGACACCUACGGGUGGCAGCAGUCGAGAAUUUUUCACAAUGGGCGCAAGCCUGAUGGAGCGACGCCGCGUGGGGGAUGAAUGGCUUCGGCCCGUAAACCCCUGUCAUUUGCGAACAAGUUGGUUCAUUUAACACCUGAACCAUUGAUAGUAGCGAAAGAGGAAGGGACGGCUAACUCUGUGCCAGCAGCCGCGGUAAUACAGAGGGUCCAAGCGUUGUUCGGAUUCACUGGGCGUAAAGGGUGCGUAGGUGGUGAGGUAAGUCGGAUGUGAAAUCUCCGAGCUCAACUCGGAAAUGGCAUUGGGAACUACCUUGCUCGAAGGUUUGAGGGGGGGACUGGAAUACUUUGGUGUAACAGUGAAAUGCGUAAAUAUCAAGGGGAAACACCAGUGGCGAAAGCGAAUCCCUUGGAAACUCCUGAACCUGAGGCCCGAAACCUAGGGGACCAAACGGGAAUAAUACCUGGGUAGUCUAACCCGAAACGGGGCCAGUUUGCUGAAAAAGGAAUCAACCCCUUUUUGGGCGAAACCACCGCG